AACGAACGCUGGCGGCAGGCUUAACACAUGCAAGUCGAGCGCCCCGCAAGGGGAGCGGCCGCCGGGUGAGUAGCGCGUGGGAACGUACCUUUUGGUUCGGAACAACUCCGGGAAACUGGAGCUAAUACCGGAUAAGCCCUAACGGGGAAAGAUUUAUCGCCGAAAGAUCGGCCCGCGUCUGAUUAGCUAGUUGGUGAGGUAACGGCUCACCAAGGCGACGAUCAGUAGCUGGUCUGAGAGGAUGAUCAGCCACACUGGGACUGAGACACGGCCCAGACUCCUACGGGAGGCAGCAGUGGGGAAUAUUGGACAAUGGGCGCAAGCCUGAUCCAGCCAUGCCGCGUGAGUGAUGAAGGCCUUAGGGUUGUAAAGCUCUUUUGUCCGGGAAGAUAAUGACUGUACCGGAAGAAUAAGCCCCGGCUAACUUCGUG
rnacentral:rRNA from 1 species